CACUAAGAAGCUAUCACGGGCUUAGCGUUAGCCUUUUAAGCUAAAGAGGGUGUCUCCCAAACGCCCUUAGUGA
rnacentral:tRNA from 1 species